AAAUUUUAAAAAUUUCUCUAUUCUACUUUUUUUUCUAUUUUGUUUCUUUUCAUUUUCUUUUCUUUCUUUAAAUAAAAAAUUUUUUAAAAAAGAAAUGAAUCUGGUAUUCUCUACCCUCCAGGCCUUGCAGCAGGAUCUGCUCAUGCAGUGAUGGGAAUCCUUGGGAUCCACCUGACUCUGCAUGGCCAUAAGCUGCACUGUGGUGGGAUUAGUGGCAUUAAAGUUCUCAAAUGUUCUGACCUGGACCUGGAACGUAGCUCCCCAAAGAGCAGACAUGCAGUUCUCCAGCAGACUGGUUGGAGCAUGGUCUCAGUGUGUUAAAACCAGGCACAGCAUUAAGGCAUGGUAGUGACAACACAUGUCUAGCACAACCCCUCCUGAAGGUGGCUCCCCAUGGACUCUGCAAGCCAUCUAUUCUCAACAUAUUGUACCAUCUUGGAGCUGAUCACACUGAGGAAGUGCACAGAACAAGGGCAGGAGCAGGUGCUGGAUCCCACAGAGACUUUUUCUACCCUCCUUUUCCACUCCAAUCUUCCUUGGAACUUUGAAUGGAAUCAAAGGAGGAGGCACUGCAUGUGUAGCUGCCCAAAGUCUAGAUGUCACUGUUCUCUGCUGUCACCCAAAAGGAGUGAACAGCACCCAGACAGGAGAUGGCCCAAGGCUUACAUGUGUAUAACGUGCCACUGUCUCAGGGACUGACUCUCAGUGAACCCUGAUGUCUUGAUCCACUCAGCACACCACCAUUCAGUAUUGAAAACUGGGGUUGAGUGAGUCCCUUGUACAUGACCAGGACCUGAAUCCGCAGGUGGUCAAGUCUCUCUGGGCUGCUAAGGUAAGAACUCACCUCAGCUUUGGUGCCUCUGGGGCUGAGAAUUCAGCCCUAGAAAAGUCCAGAGAGAAGUGGCUGGAGCUGGGCCAGCUGUCUAGGAAAGCUGGCUCCAGAGGCUUCCUCAGGCUGUGAGGCCCAUCUGCCUGCACCAGGCUUGCCAUACAGACCUCUGCCAGGUUCUCUGGUGACUGAGUUCCCAUCUGUGGUGAGAUAGUGGGGAGACAUGGAAUUGAUGUCCUGCACAUGGCAUCUCGGGGGUUUGGGGCUGAAGCAAAGCCCACACUCUAAAUGGUCCACAGGGCUUCAUGGUACAAGGCUCACAGGAGGACCCCAACAGAAAGGGGAAUUUCAUAUUGAAAGUUAUCUUUCAUGAGGGACACUUAGGAAUACUAGCAUGCUCAGUUCACCUUGAUAGAGGAGAGGCUGAAUAGAACUCUAUGCAUGAACAAAACUAUGAGUAAUAAGAUGGUCCCCACUUUAGACAUGAGAAAACAGAGGCUCAUUCUGGAUGUCCAAGUUCACUAAUGAGGCCCACAGAAUGCUCCUCAGGUUUCUGAUGAAAUGUCCCAUGAAGGAAUUAAGUUCCUCUUCCAUAGCCAUGGAAGGUGAGCAGCUGUGUUCACUGCUCUCUUGUUCUCAUUUAGCCCAGAGGCUCCUGCAAUAGGAACUGCGGUGCCUGAAAAAAAUUCUGUAACACAAGUGCCAGAUAAAUCAACAGAGUGGACUGACGUUUGAGGUGAACACGUCUCUGAUGAGGUGAUGAUAUGUAAGAGCUUGAGACAGGGUGGAAAGACAGCCAGCUAAUGGUCCAUGGACACCAGGCCCAGGACUGACAAUGAGGUGCAAUGGUAGAAUUCAAUCAUGACAAUAAAUGAAGUGACUUUGUUUCUAUGUCCCUUUCUCCUGCUUCUACCAACAUGUGGAGAGUGAUCUUGUCUGUGACAAGAUAGAGACUGAGUAGAGAGGAUAUGGUAGCUGAGCACUGGGAGUCCAGCUUCCUUGGUAGCAGGACUAUGGACCCAGUGUUUGACAAGCCCUGGAGCGAUGUGCCCAAAGUUCCUCUCAGUCAUCUGUGGGCCUCCUUACAGUCCCUUCUGCUCACACACCCUGCACCGGAGCCCAUACCUAUUGUAAUUGUGGGUCCCAGUAUCUGGAGCAGGGACAUGGCACACAGGGCCCAGGGAAGAGCUCCAGGCCAAUGGUCUGUGUGCAGCACUGUAGCAGCAGUGCCCAGCAGCCUGGAGGAAGCCUGAGGCUCUGAGACACCACAGGUUUUAUGUUGUUAAUCUAGAUAAUCUUAUGUUCCUCAAAGACAGACAGCUCUGUCCCAGACUUCUACCCAGAACCAUAGGAGAUGUUUAUGGAGGCUGUGG
rnacentral:lncRNA from 1 species